UACGUAGGGGGCAAGCGUUGUCCGGAAUUAUUGGGCGUAAAGAGCGCGUAGGCGGUCCGGUAAGUCGGCUGUGAAAGUCAAGGGCUCAACCCUUGAAAGCCGGCCGAUACUGUCGGACUAGAGUCCGGAAGAGGCGAGUGGAAUUCCCGGUGUAGUGGUGAAAUGCGUAGAUAUCGGGAGGAACACCAGUGGCGAAGGCGGUUCUCUGGGCCUUACCUGACGCUGAGGAGCGAAAGCGUGGGGAGCGAACAGG
rnacentral:rRNA from 1 species